rnacentral:rRNA from 1 species
UACGUAGGUCCCGAGCGUUGUCCGGAUUUAUUGGGCGUAAAGCGAGCGCAGGUGGUUUAUUAAGUCUGGUGUAAAAGGCAGUGGCUCAACCAUUGUAUGCAUUAGAAACUGGCAGACUUGAGUGCAGGAGAGGAGAGUGGAAUUCCAUGUGUAGCGGUGAAAUGCGUAGAUAUAUGGAGGAACACCGGUGGCGAAAGCGGCUCUCUGGCCUGUAACUGACACUGAGGCUCGAAAGCGUGGGGAGCAAACAGG